CUAUGAGGUAGGCUUAUUGUUCUCAUUUUAUAGGUGAAGAAACAGGCUCAGAGAGGCUGGUAACUUGUCCAAGGUCACACACCUGAUGAGAAUAGCCAGGAUUGAAUUUAGGCAAUCUGGCUUCAGAGCCAUUGUUCUUAGCGGCCAGGCUAUUGUUGGGGCCCAGGGCAGGCCACCCCAAAGUAUCCCACAAUGGCAUACCGAUUAUUUUGAAUUAAAGUUACUUGAGAAGCAGCCAAUGCAAAAAAAAAAAAAAAAAAAAAAUGCAUUUUGCUUCUCCUCUCUCUCUUCCCCAUGAAAGCAGGAAAUAAAUCUCCCUUGUGAAAGGUGCUCCCUGCAUUCUUAUCACCAGAGCUGGGUGAUUCAGGGAGGAGAAGCUGCCUGCUUUGUUCACUCUCCGAGCAUCAUUUCUUUAUGAUCUCUAAUACAUACGUAUUAAACUGGGCUCUUCUGCUAAUCUGGGCUUGUGUCAAUUCUAGUAUUAGUCCAGCCAUAAAAACACAAGAAGGGAAGAAGGGAAAUUCCCGCUCCCCAACAGUAUGUAUGGCAAGGAAGAGCAGAGCUGGGUUUUGUGGGGCCUGAAGUUUUUGAAGAUUAGCCCUGAGCUAACUGCUGCCAAUCCUCUUCUUUUUGCUGAGGAAGACUGGCCCUGAGCUCACAUCUGUGCCCAUUUUCCUCUACUUUAUACAUGGACGCCUACCACAGCAUGGUGUGCCAAUCAGUGCCACGUCCGCACCCAGGAUCCAAACCGGCGAACCCAAGGCCGCUGAAGCAGAACCGUGAGAACUUAACCACUGCGCCACCGGGCCAGCCCAGUGAAAUCUGGAUUAUUGAAGGGCUUCCUAACUGCCCUGGGCACAGACUGGAAACCUGAGGAAGGCUCCUGCCUCCCACCACCACCUGAGCCUGGGGACUGAGCCAGGCCAGAACUGCUGGACCCUGCUGUCUCUCUCCUCCCUCUCUCAAAAACCCGGUACACCCACAUAUAUACGUAAGCCUCAAGCCUACACUUCUUCAUUGCUUCUGUGGGCCAAUGGAAACUGAUAGGUAGUCAGAAAACUGCCUCUAACUUAACCUGUGACCUUGGGCACAUUAUUUCCUCUUUCUGGGCCUCAACUUCCUCAUCUAUAAAAUGGAAGUAAUGGUAAUCCCUGUGCAGCCAGCCUCACAUGGUUAUUGUGAGGAUUAAAGAUGAACUGAUGCCAAAUGUCCAUCACCUGAUGAGUGGAUAAACAAAUGUGCUACAUCCAUAAAGUGGAAUAUUAUUCAGCCAUGGAAAAGAAAUGAAGUUCUGAUACAUGCUACAAUUGGAUGAACCUUAAAAACAUCAACAAGUGAAAGAAGCCAGUCACAAAGACCACACAUUUUAUGAUUUCCACUUAUAUGAAAUAACCAGAAUAGGCAAAUCUAUACAGACGGAAAGUAGAUUAGUGGUUGCCAGGGGCUGCGAGGCGGGCAGGGAGGAACAGGACUGCUCGUGGGUACCAGGGUUCACGUUGAGCUGAUGAAAAUGUUCUGAGAUUGAUUGUGGUGACGGCUGUCUGUGAAUAUACUAAGAACCAUUGAAUUGUACCCUUUUAAAAAGUGAAUUGUAGCUCAAUAAAGCCGUUAUUAAAAACAAUAAGAUGAACUGAUGACCACAACUAUUUAAAAUCAUGAUAAUAAUCUCAGCUGACUUUUAUUCAGCAUUUACCGUAUUCC
ensembl:lncRNA